GUAAUGUCUGGGAAACUGCCUGAUGGAGGGGGAGUAACUACUGGAAAACGGUAGCUAAUACCGCAUAACGUCGCAAGACCAAAGAGGGGGACCUUCGGGCCUCUUGCCAUCGGAUGUGCCCAGAUGGGAUUAGCUAGUAGGUGGGGUAACGGCUCACCUAGGCGACGAUCCCUAGCUGGUCUGAGAGGAUGACCAGCCACACUGGAACUGAGACACGGUCCAGACUCCUACGGGAGGCAGCAUG
rnacentral:rRNA from 1 species